rnacentral:lncRNA from 1 species
AAUACUCUCACCAGAAUUAACGAAUAUGUACAUACUACAAAAAUCUCACUAAAGAAUUUGCAAAAAUCUUCCUAUUUAUUUCAAAGCCAAAGAAAGAAAAAGAAAAACCUGCAACUUACAAAACACUAGGUUUUGUCAUACAACAGCCAAGUUUCAAACUUAUACAAUUUUAAAGAGGUAUGAUAUUAAACCAUUAAAAAUUCAACAGUGAAUGUAUAAAAUAGGUUUGUUAAGCAAAUAUAAGGUACCAUUAGCACACUGAAGCAUUUUUAAUAACCUUUCAUUUAACUGCAUAAUGACUACGUCUGUUCUUAGCGCCUUGCUUUCAAUUUGAAAGCUUUUCUGUUUUAUAUUGUUGCUUGUAUGCCAGCUGCCUUGCUUUGUUUUGUUUGAAGAAGUGAGGACAAGUGAAAGAACAGGCUUAAAGGGGGGAAUUGUUGGACGACUUACUACUAUUAUCUUCUGUGCCCUGGGAUGCAGUGGAGACCAUUUGCAGAAGUGACUUGGUCUUCUCUCUCACUCCCUUCCACUUUCUAUCCAAGUUUCAUCAUCUUGGUUUGGAAACAGAUUUUUUUGGAUCAAAUCUCAGAUCUUGUCAUCAAGAUUUUUCAUUCCUCUCCUAUCUGCAGUAUCCACUAGCAAUUCUUCCCUAGGGCCUAACUGUAUAUACAGGACUUCACUGUCAAGUCAAGGGCAGGACCAAAUGAGCCAUUAGCAGUAGCAACUUGGAGCCCAAAGCCAAGUGUAGCAAGAGACUAUCCAGGUGGUCAAAAACCUUAGAGAAGCCUAAUAACAAAGGAACAGUCUCUACACCGUGUCAUCAUAUGAUUUAACCAACAAAGCAAUGACACGAUAUUUUUCUCCCACUAUUAACAAAAGAACAAUAAUUUUAAAGCCUUUAUUCAUUUCUUGAACUUCGAAGAUAAAUAAUGAAGUCGAUGAGAAAAGUGGUGUCCAGUUCACUAAAUUAUCCUAAGAUAUCAUUCUAAAUGCAAACUUUCACUAAAUUUUGUAUGUAACUGAUUAGUCUGUCUGUUUUCCAGACAGUCUACAAAAGGAAAGUACCAACCUUACCCUUUUAAUCAUUUUCAAUGGUAACAAACAUUUUAAUCAGGGAAAACUAAUAUUAGGAUGGUAGUUUUAUAGGGUUCUUGGCCAAAAUCAUGAUGGCAAUUUAAACAAAACUUUAGCAGAAGAUACUAGGGGUAGAAAGAUGCCCAUAUUGAAAAAUUGUACUUAAUUUUACAUCCAAUGAGAAAUAAUUCAUAUUUGAAUUAGGAGUUUUUUAAUUUUUUAUGUAAAAAUACCUUUAGGUGGUCAUUUGAAAUUGAUAUGUCUCAUCUUACUAUAAGUAUGACAUUUUAAAAAAACUAUCAUAAAUUAAAUGAGGGGGAAAAAUGAAGUUCCCACUGUGGCACAGAGGGUUAAGUACUCAGCGUUGUCACUGCAGCAGCUCCUGUCCCUGCUAUGGCUCCGGUUCAGUCCCUGGCCGGGGAACGUCCACAUGCUACAGGCACAGCCAAAAAAUUAAUUAAUUAAUUAAUUAAAUGGCGAAGUAUAUAGUAAAGCACCUAGCACAAUACCUGAAGACAAAUAGGAGGAUUUUUUUUUUUAAUAUUCCAAAAGAGGAGUUCCCGUCGUGGCACAGCAGAAACGAAUCCGAGUAGGAACCAUGAGGUUGUGGGUUCGAUCCCUGGCCUUGCUCAGUGGGUUAAGGAUCCGGCAUUGCUGUGAGCUGUGGUGUAGGUCGCAGACGCAGCUUGGAUCCCAAAUUGUUGUGGCUCUGGCGCAGGCCGUUGACUACAGCUCCGAUUAGACCCCUAGCCUGGGAACCUCCAUAUGCAGUGGGUGUGGCCCUAGAAAAGACAAAAAUAAAUAAAUAAAUAAAUAUUCCAAAAGAAAGCAUUCAGCUCACAUUUAUGUGUUACUUAGUCUUCUAAAAUUCUUCUGUGGCUUCCUAGGCAGUCAAAAUUUUAAAUGUGUCAGUAUAAAUGUAGAUUUUUUUUACUCACCGUUACCUUAAAAUAGAUAGCAUUUUAUUUGCUAAUUUAUAUAUACCUGUAUAAUAUAUAAAGCCAUCUCAUGUGGCUUUAAAAAGAGGUUUGACCUUAUUUGGACAAAUAAUAUGCUAUGAAAACUUAUGUAAUGCAGGUUUUUGCCUAACAGCCUUAGAUUUUUAAUGUUUAGUAGACAAAUGUCAAUUUCCCCUAGAGAAAAAUCACCUUCCUGUAAUUACUAAGACUUUAUAGGUAUUACCAUCCAUAUUACUACAAAUUUAAACACACUUAGUCCAUGUAAAUGUUCAAUAUACUGUUCCAUUUUUAUGCUUUAAAUAUUUGUAAACCUAAGGAUCUAUUUCAUAAAGUAAUUCAUAAUCAAAUUUUGUUCCAGAAUUAUUGUAAUUGGCUAUUGGCCAGAUUAAACUCUGAAAGGAGAGCAAAAACUUUCAAUAUUAAAAAAUUCUUCAUUAAAUUGUGUUUUAAGAAUCUAGAGUAUGGACCGUCAUUGGAUUUCAUCAGAGGCUUGUUUUCCCUUUUAUUUAUUUAUUUAUUUAUUUUUUGAUGUUCAAAUCUUAGUAACCAAGAAAAGUAGCAGAGGAGGGGGCUUACUUUCUAUUUCAAUUUAUUUAUAAUGCCAAGUCACAAACAUUUAGCUAGAGCCCUUAUUUCUUAUUGGUGAUGACCAAGGACUACAUAUAAUGUAGCACAUCUAGUCCUUACACUGACUAAAUGCAACUACUCCAACCAAAUCAGGCUGAUCACUGUGCAACCAGAGGGAGGAAAUUAACUGUAACCCUGGAAAGACAGACUUACUUUAGGUAGAUUGUCCAUUGACACCACAAAGGAACAUCCAAAAUAUGCUAAAAUUUCACCUUUAAAGUAUCCAGUAUUCAUCAUUGGUAAGCUGAAAAUAAUAGUUUGAUUUUAAUUUUAAUAAGCAUUUUUGUUUGUUUUUUAUUUUGUUUUUGCUGUUUUGGGCUAGUAAUUUUAUGAAAGCUUUCAUAUAACACAUUAUUUAGUUUGGGGUUUCAUUCAGAGUAUUAUGAUACUUAAAAAAUAAUCCAUGUUCUAAAGCAUAAUUGCAUGACAGUUUUGAUCUUGUUACUAUUUAGUUACAGCUUAACGAAUACUGUAUUCCUACCUGUUUUCUCAAAAAAUGAAGUCCCUAGCUUAUUAAAUAGUAUUCAGAUAAAGCAUUAUGCUGCCCAACCAGCUCACUAAAUGUAUUUAUGACCUGUCUAUACAUAGCUUAUGUGAAAACUCAAUGUUGACUUCUGUGUCUGCUGCUUUUAAAAGCUCACCAGAGUGAUUGUCUUUUAUUAUGUCAGCACAUUAUGUCACAGCGUCACCUACAUAGGCCGUGGUACAAAAGUAACUGUAAACUGCUUACUCAACAUCUAGCCCCAAAAGAUCAGAAGCAGUGCAAUAACGCCUUUAGUUAAAAUGGCUCACGGUUUGAAUCAUUUCAAUCUGUGCAUUUUUUUCCAGAAAUACGGAGGUCGUAUUUUUUUAGCUGUCUUUUCUGGCUUGUAAGUAAAAGCUCUACAUCAUAUCUACAUAGUCUAAAUAUGUCAAAUACUUCAGUUUUCAAAAAAUGUUGUCUGCUAACAAACUAAAGAGAAAUAGCUGCUGAUUUUUCCAGAGAACUGCUUGAUUUAUUUUUCAUUGCCAAUGUGGACCUGCCUUAAAUGGUUUCUUUCACCACUAUUACAUGUUAAAUAAAAGGAGGAUGUUGUGGUGAAUGACUCCCUGUCUGACAUUAGCUCUUUUCACUGGUCAAAGGAUCUCCGUUCCUCAGAAGUGACCCAUUUAGUGAUGUCCAGUAGUCAAGUGUGCACUAUUUACGUUUUGGUCUUCACAUACUGCAGUUGGAUUAUCUACAAAAUUAACAUAUAUAGACUCUCAAAGGCUAGUAUUUUGGGAGGGGAGAGGAGGUGAGCAGAUGAAGGGAGAGAAGAGGAAAGCAAAAAAGAAAAGCUAGUAGAGAAAAGCUAAUCUCCCCAAAAUGAGUUAAAUGGGGGAAACCGAAGUUGAUAAUGUACAUUUUUUGAAAAGUUGACUGGCUUUGGGGAAGGCCGUGGGUGUUUGUCUGUGUGCACGUGUGUUUAGGGUCAGGAAGGGGAACCUGAAUGAACUACUGCUUCUUCAGUUAACAUGAGUCAUACGGUUAUUACAAACAAGUACGUCUAACUCUCCAAACUCAUUAACUCAAUGUUUAAUGUUAGAAUUAUCUCACAGUUAAACUCAGGACAACUCUGUGAAUAUGCACAAAAUAAUUUUAUGAAAACUUACAGUGAAACUAUGUAACUCUCAGAGAGUAAUGCACACUAAAAAGCCUUGCUGGGGGAAUUCCAGUCAUGGCACAGCGGAAGUGAAUCCAACUAGUAUCCGUGAAGAUGUGGGUUCGAUCCCUGACCAUGCUCAGUGGGUUAACCAUCUGGCAUUGCCGUGAGCUGUGGUGUUAAGUCGCAGAUGCAGCUAGGAUCCCACGUUGCUGUGGCUGCGGCUAGGCCAGCAGCUAUAGCUCUAAUUCGCCCCCUAUAUGCUGCACAUGUGGCCCUAAAAAGCAAAAAAAGACCCAAACAAAAAAAACAAAAAGCCUUGCUGGGAAUAAUCAUGGGUGAUUUCCCUGUAAAACAGGUUGAUAAACAACCUAAUUCUUGUUUUCUCAAGUUGUAGAAAUUUUAAUUGUUUCUAUUAAGUCCCUAACAUCUCCUAGAUUGAAAAUACUCAAAACUAUUUUUAAAACCUGAGGAAUAUAGAGUACCAGAAAUUCAAAGUUAGGUAAUAGUUCUUAAAAUUACUGUAUACCUUAAGUAAUGCAAAUUCAUAUUUCUUAAGUUCCAUAUGGUAUUAGAUUUAUAGAUACGGUCCAUGAAGCAUCAUCGUCUUUUAUUAACAUUAAUGUUUUAGAGAGUUUUCAUACCAUCUGUGAAUGCUCUGAAUGCUGCAGGGGAAAAGCACAAUCAGUAUUUUAUUUUUGAAGAUUUCUCAGUUGAGUUAUCCUGUCCCAUCUACACACAUAAUAGCAUUAACAUUUCAUCCUAUAACUAUGUUGAAAUGUUUUUAAUAUAAACUCUCAGUAGAAGCCAGAGCUUGUGUACAUGUUAAAUGGUAAGUCUUGUCUAGUCUCAUUCAUCUGCCUCAACAUGCUUUAUUUCAUUCUAUUUGCAAUGUUCUGAUUUCAAUUUUGUAAAGAGAUUUAGCAGACACGUGUUUGUUCAGCUGUCCAUCCUGCACCAUUAAGACAAUGCCUUUCUCUCCCAUUUAAUGGUGUUUGUAUCAGUGUCCCCAUAUCUGCUGCAUUUGAACUCCAUAAAAAGAAAAUGUGAUUUUUGUAUUAGUAGUUUUGCUGAUCAGCUCAAUAUUUCUGCACCAAUCAGCAUCCUUAUGUGCAUGUAGUAGUCUGUAUAAUUGUUUGACAUCAAAAUACUUGUUUACUUUAUGUCAAAAUGUCUGUAAAAUUGCUGGCAUUGUUCUUCAUUCCAGUCUGGUAGAAAAAGCAAGACAGAAAAUAAAUGUGUAAAUGAAUCAUCUGUGUCAUUUCGGUUCUCUGCAUGAAAUCACUUCACAUUAAGCAUGGCAUACAUGCCCGCCACCCAACAAUCCAUGGUUUCUUGACACUUCAUUACUAACUGUGGAGGCAGGUAACUUUUGGAGGAAGUAUAGGAUAAAACUGCUAAGACCAGAGAAAAGAUAAAAGCUGGAUCCAUUGCCAAAGUCCUCUCCUUUUUGAAUGAAUCCUUUUAGUCUACAGAUACAUCACUUGGUUUAUACUUUUUAAAAGACUCAACACAUACCACCUUGCCAAAACUCUGGGGUGAGAUCAUCAAUGAAUUUUGAGAUAGUCUCCCAUGGCCAUUCCUAAAACCAAUUCAGAACAUUCCUCCUUGGGUAAAUGGAGUCUUAACUCCGGACUCCAGGGUUAGCUUCAUAAAUAGCAGGGUUAUCUAUGCAUCAGUCACACAGAGGUGCUGAUGCGUACAAGAGCCAGCAUUUAAUUUAAUGCCCUGCUGUCGCCUUUUUGAAAUUCUGAAUAAUUUUCAAGUAAGGAACCCUGUAUUUUCCUUUUCUAUUAGACCUCAUAAAGUAUAGAGGGAGGCAAAUGAUAAGACUGCCAGUUGAGGAGUUCCCACUGUGGCUCAGCGGGUCAAGAACCCAACUAGCAUUCAUGAGGAUGAGGGUUCAAUCACUGGCCUCAGCUCAGUGGGUUAAGGAUCCAGUGUUGCCAUAAGCUGCAUUGUAGGUUGCACAUGUGGCUCGGAUCUGGCACUGCUGUGGCUGUGGUGUAGGCUGGCAGCUGCAACUCCACUUCAACCCCAAGUCUGGGAACUUCCAUAUGCCACAGGUGUGGCCCUAAAAAG